AGUUAGCAAUAAGUGCUGCUACUU
rnacentral:miRNA from 1 species